GUGGCGGCGCAUGUGGCUGAAAAGAGAAGGCGAUAUAUUUCCAAAAUGAACAUGGCUGCUGAAUCAUCACUGGAGACCUCCACCGACGACAGAGUAAAGCUGUUAGGACGGGAACAGCUGCUUGCAGGUAAGUAUUUUUUAGGUUGAUGUUUUUGCUUAUUUUUAUUUUCAGGUCGAGGUACUUACCUAGACUCCAUGGGAUGCAGGUGGCCGCGUUGAGUUUUUAGGUGCGUCUGGAAUAGAAGAAUGUGUUGCGGCUGGCGGCAUUUGUAUGGCAGGUACAGGAGCAGCUUUAUGGCGUUUAGGACCAGACGACGGGCCAGAUACAGCAGCUGCAGACGGACUAGCUUGACGAGAUUCUGGACGACGCAGAUGAGACGAUGCAUACGACGCUGGACAAGGAGCUGCUGUUUGCUGUUGUGUAUUUUCAGGUAUUGGUGCAUCAGGCGAGCGGAAAUCUGGACAGGACGAUGGACGAGAUGGUGCAGACGCUGAGAACAGGCAGAGAGUGCAGGAGGCGCGUCUACUGGAGGCACAGCUGUCGAGGACUGGCCCUCUGGCCAGGCCAGGACAACCGCUGAAUAGUGGGCAGGAUUCUGGCUUUGCAGGGGCCGCCUGAAAUCAUAUUUCGUUAUGAUUAGGUAUGGCUCCUCCGAUUCGGUACGAUUCGUAUUUGGCAGGUCCCUUCGUAGAGGUUUAGUGGCCAGGGCUGCAGCAUGGUGGAGGGAGUCGCUGAGGGUGUUUUGGAACAGUUUGAUGUUAGAUCCUACAGGCAAAAGUCUUCGAUUGUCAGGAAGUAAGUUUGGGUGCUGGUCCAUCGUGAUGUGUACAAAAACAGAAUAAACUCCAAAGUCAAUGGCUGAGGGAUUUUUUCGCCGGUCGUGUGGGAAAUGAGUAUUACCACCCGUCGCCAGGAUGUCCAGUUUCUUGUCAGCCUGGAUCACUUCAAGGAGAGUUCUGCCGCGUUUACAUGACCUUGAAUUA